rnacentral:rRNA from 1 species
UACGAAGGGGGCUAGCGUUGCUCGGAAUCACUGGGCGUAAAGCGCACGUAGGCGGCUUUUUAAGUCAGGGGUGAAAUCCUGGAGCUCAACUCCAGAACUGCCUUUGAUACUGAGGAGCUUGAGUCCGGGAGAGGUGAGUGGAACUGCGAGUGUAGAGGUGAAAUUCGUAGAUAUUCGGAAGAACACCAGUGGCGAAGGCGGCUCACUGGCCCGGUACUGACGCUGAGGUGCGAAAGCGUGGGGAGCAAACAGG